GAUGAACGCUGGCUACAGGCUUAACACAUGCAAGUCGAGGGGAAACGACGGGGAAGCUUGCUUCCCCGGGCGUCGACCGGCGCACGGGUGAGUAACGCGUAUCCAACCUGCCUCUGACUGAGGGAUAACCCGUCGAAAGUCGGCCUAAUACCUCAUGGCAUCGUCUGCGGGCAUCCAACGACGAUUAAAGAUUUCAUCGGUCAGAGAUGGGGAUGCGUCUGAUUAGCUUGUUGGCGGGGUAACGGCCCACCAAGGCGACGAUCAGUAGGGGUUCUGAGAGGAAGGUCCCCCACAUUGGAACUGAGACACGGUCCAAACUCCUACGGGAGGCAGCAGUGAGGAAUAUUGGUCAAUGGGCGAGAGCCUGAACCAGCCAAGUAGCGUGCAGGAUGACGGUCCUAUGGGUUGUAAACUGCUUUUAUGCGGGGAUAAAGUGAGGGACGUGUCCUUCAUUGCAGGUACCGCAUGAAUAAGGACCGGCUAAUUCCGUG
rnacentral:rRNA from 1 species